rnacentral:rRNA from 1 species
GCUCGAGUGGCGAACGGGUGAGUAACACGUGAGUAACCUGCCCUUGACUUUGGGAUAACUUCAGGAAACUGGGGCUAAUACCGGAUAGGAGCUCCUGCUGCAUGGUGGGGGUUGGAAAGUUUCGGCGGUUGGGGAUGGACUCGCGGCUUAUCAGCUUGCUGGUGGGGUAGUGGCUUACCAAGGCUUUGACGGGUAGCCGGCCUGAGAGGGUGACCGGCCACAUUGGGACUGAGAUACGGCCCAG